rnacentral:rRNA from 1 species
AUUGAACGCUGGCGGCAGGCCUAACACAUGCAAGUCGAGCGGAUGAAGGGAGCUUGCUCCUGGAUUCAGCGGCGGACGGGUGAGUAAUGCCUAGGAAUCUGCCUGGUAGUGGGGGAUAACGUCCGGAAACGGGCGCUAAUACCGCAUACGUCCCGAGGGAGAAAGUGGGGGAUCUUCGGACCUCACGCUAUCAGAUGAGCCUAGGUCGGAUUAGCUAGUUGGUGGGGUAAAGGCCUACCAAGGCGACAAUCCGUAACUGGUCUGAGAGGAUGAUCAGUCACACUGGAACUGAGACACGGUCCAGACUCCUACGGGAGGCAGCAGUGGGGAAUAUUGGACAAUGGGCGAAAGCCUGAUCCAGCCAUGCCGCGUGUGUGAAGAAGGUCUUCGGAUUGUAAAGCACUUUAAGUUGGGAGGAAGGGCAGUAAGUUAAUACCUUGCUGUUUUGACGUUACCAACAGAAUAAGCACCGGCUAACUUCGUG